GUGAGGAAUUUUCCGCAAUGGGCGAAAGCCUGACGGAGCAAUGCCGCGUGAAGGAUGAAGGCCUAUGGGUUGUAAACUUCUUUUCUCAGAAAAGAAUUAUGACGGUAUCUGAGGAAUAAGCAUCGGCUAACUCUGUGCCAGCAGCCGCGGUAAGACAGAGGAUGCAAGCGUUAUCCGGAAUGAUUGGGCGUAAAGCGUCUGUAGGUUGUUUAAAAAGUAUUCUGUCAAAGAUUAGGGCUUAACCCUAGAUAGGCAGAAUAAACUUUUAAGCUAGAGUUUGGUAGAGGCAGAGGGAAUUCCCGGUGGAGCGGUGAAAUGCGUAGAUAUCGGGAGGAACACCAAAGGCGAAGGCACUCUGCUGGGCCAAUACUAACACUGAGAGACGAAAGCGAGGGGAGCAAAUGGGAUUAGAAACCCGUGUAGUCCC
rnacentral:rRNA from 1 species